GCCCUAUGGGUUUUAAACUGCUUUUGUAUGGGAAGAACAGCAGGUACGUGUACCUGUAUGCCGGUACCAUACGAAUAAGCAUCGGCUAACUCCGUGCCAGCAGCCGCGGUAAUACGGAGGAUGCGAGCGUUAUCCGGAAUUAUUGGGUUUAAAGGGUGCGUAGGCGGAAAAGUAAGUCAGUGGUGAAAUUUUGCAGCUUAACUGAAAAAUAGCCAUUGAAACUGUUUUUCUUGAGUAUAGAUGAGGUAUGCGGAAUGAGUAGUGUAGCGGUGAAAUGCAUAGAUAUUACUCAGAACACCAAUUGCGAAGGCAGCGUACUAAACUAUAACUGACGCUGAAGCACGAAAGCGUGGGUAUCAAACAGGAUUAGAUACCCUGGUAGUCCACGCUGUAAACGAUGAUUACUGGUUGUUUGCGAUAGACAGUAAGCGACUGAGCGAAAGCAUUAAGUAAUCCACCUGGGGAGUACGUCGGCAACGAUGAAACUCAAAGGAAUUGACGGGGGCCCGCACAAGCGGUGGAACAUGUGGUUUAAUUCGAUGAUACGCGAGGAACCUUACCUGGGCUUAAAUGGGAUCUGACGUUAAUAGAAAUAUUAAUUUCUUCGGACAGGUUUCAAGGUGCUGCAUGGUUGUCGUCAGCUCGUGCCGUGAGGUGUCGGGUUAAGUCCCAUAACGAGCGCAACCCCUGUUGUCAGUUACCAGCAUAUAAAGAUGGGAACUCUGACAAGACUGCCGGUGUAAGCCGCGAGGAAGGUGGGGAUGACGUCAAAUCAGCACGGCCCUUACGUCCAGGGCUACACACGUGUUACAAUGGCCGGUACAAAGGGCAGCUACACAGCAAUGUGAUGCAAAUCUCGAAAACCGGUCCCAGUUCGGAUUGGAGUCUGCAACCCGACUCCAUGAAGCUGGAAUCGCUAGUAAUCGCGCAUCAGCCAUGGCGCGGUGAAUACGUUCCCGGGCCUUGUACACACCGCCCGUCAAGCCAUGGAAGCCGGGCGUACCUGAAGUAUGUAACCGCAAGGAGCGUCCUAGGGUAAAACCGGUGACUGGGGCU
rnacentral:rRNA from 1 species